GAUAAACGCUAGCGGCAGGCUUAACACAUGCAAGUCGAGGGGCAGCAUAGAUUGUAGCAAUCCAAUUGGUGGCGACCGGCGCACGGGUGCGUAACGCGUAUGCAACCUACCCGUCACAGGGGGAUAAUCCGGAGAAAUCUGGCCUCAUACCCCAUAACCUAUGGAUCGGCAUCGGUUCAUGUUGACAUUUUCGGAGGUUACGGAUGGGCAUGCGUAGCAUUAGCUUGUUGGUGAGGUAACGGCUCACCAAGGCGACGAUGCUUAGGGGGACUGAGAGGUUUUCCCCCCACACUGGUACUGAGACACGGACCAGACUCCUACGGGAGGCAGCAGUGAGGAAUAUUGGUCAAUGGGCGCAAGCCUGAACCAGCCAUGCCGCGUGCAGGAUGACGGCUCUAUGAGUUGUAAACUGCUUUUGUACGAGGGUAAAGUGGGUUACGUGUAACCUUUUGAAAGUAUCGUACGAAUAAGGAUCGGCUAACUCCGUGCCAGCCGCCGCGGUAA
rnacentral:rRNA from 1 species